AUUUUUGGGCUUCCGCCGAAUAUCCGCGAACAACACUUUUUAUUUUAUUUCUUUUUUUUUUCUUCUUCCUCCGCUUCUGUGCUGCGUCCCAACCCUUGUUUUGUUAUCCCUUUUUUUUUUUUUUUAAUGUUAGAGUGUUUGUGUGUGUGAAAUUUGGCUUGCUUUUACGUGUGUGUGUGUGUGAGUUCAACCCCCAAAAAUUAAACAUCUCCAACCCCCCGCCCACCAAAAAACCGCCCGGGCAAAUAUCCACCCACUCACCCCCUGGCAACUACGACACUUCCCCCAAUGAGAACGUUCUUCUUUUUCACCUUGGAUGAUGCUGCUGCUUCUUCUUCUUCUUGCGUCGUCCGACGCUGGAGCAGCAGAAGGAGUCGCACAAAAGGAGAGCACAAGCGCUAGCUAGCUAGCGAGAGCGAGAGAGCUAGCAAGCAAUUCAAAAACUGUCGAAAUAAAACGGCUUCUUCACGUCUUCUCCACCCCAUUCCCCCUCCCCUCCACCAACCCCAACCCCAACGCAACCCCCCUGGGGAGGCCCAUCAACUGCUGCCUCCUGCUUUGACGUUCUCCGUCUCGUUUGCUCUCUUGCCUGGUUUUCUUUUGUGCCUAUUUCCGCUGCCGCUUGUUAGGUCAGCUCGACGCCCCCCUCCAUAUUCCUACAGGCUCGUGCAGGUUCUGGCAGGCAGUCCUUUCAACAAAAAAUUAAAAAUAAUUAUGACUUUUUGAAAUUUAAUUGAAAUUAAAGAAGAAACUGUGCAUGGGAUUAGUUUUUUUUUUUUUUUUAUAUAUGUAAUUUCAAAUCAUAAACAGUUUUGGAAACAAAAAUUUAAAAACAUUGCAAUCCCUUUGAAUUAAAUAAUACACCUGGUCACACUAAUAAUUAAUUAUUAAGAAUGGAAAACAAUUAUCUAUGUCUUCUUAUUACUUAAUAUUAACUUGUUAAAAUUCCUGCUGAAUACUCUUAAAAAUAUAAACAAGUCAAUUUUGAAAAACAAAAACAAAUCAAGUUUUUAAAUAUUGCGCCAAAGUCAUGCAUUUACCAACACUGUUUUGGCCGCAUGCAACCCUGAAAAAUCACACGCACACACACACAUACAAGCACAGACGCUUGGGGAGCAUUUUGUUAUUUUUUUUUUGUUAUUAUUCAACUGAGGAAAGAACAGCCCAAAAAAGCUUACCAACAAUUUAGAACCAAUUGCACAAAAUAGACGAAUUAAGGUAUGUAAAUGGAGGAAAUGAAAAGCGAAGGAAACGGAGAAGGAUGAUGAACGGCGAAGAAGAAGCAGCAGUAGCAGCAGCAGCAGAAGCAGCAGCAUAAGAACAAUCAAUAAUAAUAAUAACAAAAAAGGAGAGAAAAAAAAAAUAAGUAAA